rnacentral:rRNA from 1 species
GAACGAACGCUAGCGGGAUGCCUCAAACAUGCAAGUCGUACGAGAAAGCCCCUUCGGGGGUGAGUACAGUGGCGCACGGGUGAGUAACACGUAGCUAACCUCCCCUUUCGCUGGGGACAACUCCGGGAAACCGAAGCUAAUACCGAAUGAGCUGUCAGAGACUGCGGUCUCUGCCGGCAAAGCCGUAAGGCGCGAAAGGAUGGGGCUGCGGCCCAUUAGCUAGUUGGUGGGGUAAUGGCCUACCAAGGCAACGAUGGGUAGCUGGUCUGAGAGGAUGGUCAGCCACACUGGAACUGAAACACGGUCCAGACACCCACGGGUGGCAGCAGUUGGGAAUUUUGGACAAUGGGGGCAACCCUGAUCCAGCAAUCCCGCGUGAAUGAUGAAGGCCUUCGGGUCGUAAAGUUCUUUCAGCAGGGAAGAAGGGUAACUUGACUGUACCUGCAGAAGAAGCACCGGCUAACUACGUGCCAGCAGCCGCGGUAAUACGUAGGGUGCAAGCGUUGUUCGGAAUCAUUGGGCGUAAAGCGCGUGUAGGCGGCCUACUAAGUCUGAUGUGAAAGCCCGGGGCUCAACCCCGGAAGUGCAUUGGAUACAGGUUGGCUAGAGGACGAGAGAGGGAAGUGGAAUUCCUGGUGUAGGGGUGAAAUCCGUAGAUAUCAGGAGGAACAUCGGUGGCGAAGGCGGCUUCCUGGCUCGUUUCUGACGCUCGGACGCGAAAGCGUGGGUAGCAAACAGGAUUAGAUACCCUGGUAGUCCACGCCCUAAACGAUGGAUACUAGUCGUCGGGAUACCUAAUUGUCUCGGUGACGAGGCAAACGCGUUAAGUAUCCCGCCUGGGGAAUACGGUCGCAAGAUUAAAACUCAAAUGAAUUGACGG